ensembl:lncRNA
CGGUGGGCUCCGCAACGGGGAGGUGUAGAGGUGCUGGGAGAAGAGUGGAGCGCUGAGGCGUUUCGUUGGGUCAGCUCGGGAGCCGACUGACCUGCAGGAAGGACGCGGCCCUGAUUUGGUGCCCUAGCGCAGCCUGUCAGCCCCUUCUCGCCAUCAGGAGAGCCCCAGCCCGGCUGCUCGGUCAGCUUUCUGUCUCUUUCUGCUGUGACCUUCACCGCUUCUCCUCAGGACUCCCCAUCUCUGCAGGAACGCCGCGGCUGCCUGCCCUCUCUCUGAAUGCUUUAGCUGAGCUCCACUUCUGGGCCAGCCCCAAACUCCCCUCUCUGCCCUCUGCCGCACUGGAGGAGUUACCUGCGUACAUUGCUAAUACAGCGGUCUUAAGCCUUGUGCCUUUUUCCUUCUCUGGUUAAUGAGUCAUACUUUGGAGUGAGUGCGCUGCCCAGAAGCGGGCUUUGCCCCAUGCCCACAGAUGCACAGUGGUGAUCCCAUGAAGUGGAGACAGGUCCCAGUUACUCAGCCGGCAUUUAACAUGCACUUGUUGCAAAAUGAAUGACAUGUACCAUCGUUUUCCCAUGGAGUUGCUGCAUACGGUCUGUUACAGGCUUGCACGUGUACGUAGCCUUACUCCUGUGCAUAGCUCUAAGCCAGCCGGACUGCUCCCAGUGCACAAAACUAAGCAUGGAUACAGGUCUUUCCAUGGUGAGAUGCUUAAUGCAAGGCGAUUGCAGCAAGCGGGGAGGGGAAGUGGAAAACAAGGGUGACAGCAAUAAAAUUACACUGGAAUUUUGAGCAGGAUGACAAAGAGAUACUGAGGAAAAGAAGGGACUGCCCAGACCCUUCUACAAGGAGGAAAUACCUCAUGCACAGUGCAUUUUGUCAAGUAUACAAGGUUUAUGAAAACAAACAAACCAGUCUUUCCAAUUCGCUUUCGGGAGAACAUCUGAGAUUGAAACAUUCCGUCUAGAUAGUGGGGUAUUUAAUUCUGCUGCUGGCAGAAAUGUACAAAGUGCUCUAUCGGAAUACAAAAAUCCAAACAAAGCAUCCGGUGUGUCCUAAAGAGAUGGAAGCGCACACAGCACACUGUCAAAUGUGGAAUGGCAAAAAUCGUAGCAGCGCAAACAGAGGAGAGCAGACAGGGCUGAGAAAGAAAAGUGCUUCUUCCCUUAGUGAUGGGGAAUGGAGAAUGGAGAUGACGUGGAUGACCUUCUUCUAUUUUGGUAUAUUCUUCUCAUUGUCCGUGCUAGCGUGGACCACGGGUCUCAGCAUAGCGUCAGUACUUACAUGUGCAGCAGUGGUAUCUCGUAGGAAAUGAGGAUAUUGCCUCUGGAUGGAACAUCAAAUGUUUAUGUUCAAGUCUUUUAACUCGUUUGGAAGAGCAUCAAAUAUGGUGGAUAAAUGUUUCCGUCCCUCUGAUCCCACACCUAUCUCUCUCUCAGAAAUCUUCCUGUGACUGUUCGGCCUUCUUAAGCAGAAAAUCUCCAAAGCCAAACUCUUUUUCUUCUGUAGAUAAUUUUGUAUUUCCUACAGCCUCUGCCGUCAUCUGGUCUCCAGUCCAGCAUUUCUAGGGAAAAAAAAGAGAUAUCCUCAGCCUUUUCUGCCACACACAUUUGUGUCUCUGAACUUUCUCUCAUCUCGUUCUGAAGAACACUCUUUGUUUGGGAAUUCGCUUCUUUCCUACAUCUACCAGCUCAACUCUCUCACCAGAAAUGUAUUUUUUGGAGAGUUUAUCUUCAGCAUCCUUCAUCCUACAAAUCCAUCUUGCAGUAUUGCCCCAUAAACCGCCACAUUUGUAUGAAGAGUGGCAGAAAACUGAUGCUGGAGCAGGAGCAAGUGGCAUGGGGCAGGCAGAGAACUGCUUGGGUCAAUUUUGGUAUUGCAGAAAAUCUAGUGUAAAAAUGCACUGUGACUUGCACCUGAAGAGGAAAGGACAAAAUCCCUUGGCCAACUGAAACAUCUGCGUUAUCCAUUGGGAGCAAGAUGUGUCUUUAGACCAGGCAUGAAAAAAUGUGCGACAAUGAAUAUCAACACGUAACUGAUAAAUAUAUCCUUAUAUAUCAUUAUAACCAAGAUACAAAUUGCACAAGGACAGGAAUUGGUGUUGAAUUCUGUCAGGUUUCUGUUUACUCUGUGAGAAAUCAUUUACCACACACUGAUUAUCAUCAAUUGUAUUGAGUGGAGUAGGUUAAAAAAAAAACAUACCGCAGGAGAAAUCCCAGUUAGGAUUUUUGUCAAGAAGUGUAAUUAACCUGAAGGUAGAAUGAAAGGAUAUUUAAACUCAGGAUCUCUAUGAUAAGAAACACGUUAUAAAUGCUUAGGAGAAUGGAUUAGUAUCAAACAGAG